AGUUUGCCGUGGCUGGCCACUGAUCUAAGAGAGAGUUUGUAGCUGCUGCCCUUAGGUUACCUUUGUACCUUGCAGUGGGUUCAUCUGGGAUCCCGGAAAGCAGCUUGUCUAGAUGUUUUUUGAAAAUGUCCACAUCCGCAUCAUGUAGAUCUCUUAGUUUUCUUGGCAGUUUGUUGAACAGCUGAGGGCCCCUGAACCCCAGGCUAUUACAGUAUCUGCUCCUUACCCUGGAUGUGGAAGACGGGACCUUUGGCACCACACAGUGACGUCCUGUACGGGGAUUGGAACAGCUCUCAAUUCCAAAAUUUGGUGCUAGUCCCUCCAGGAUUUUCCAUAUGUAUAUCACUGCAUAUCUCUCUCGUCUUCGUUCCAAGGAGUACAAAUUGAGUUCCCUAAGCCUCUCCCAAUAGUUCUUUUCUUUCAUGGUGGAAAUCCUCUUGGUGAAAUGUCUUUGGAUUGUCUCAAGCUCUGUGGUUAGUUUGACACUAUGCGGUGACCACAGUUGGGAGCAGUAGUCCAGGCGGCUUAGGACAAAUGUCCUCCAUAGUGUCAAGAUGGUCUCGCAGUCUCUUGUCCGGAAUGUCCUCAGGAUCCAGCCAGUGAGUCGUCUGCACAUUGUCGCCACCUUCGCGAUGUGUGAAGAAAAAGAUGCAUCGUCACUCAUGUCUAUCCCCAGGUCCCGUAUUGAUUUCGAUACUGGGAUUUCGAUCCCUCCUGGACCAGUAUAGUUGUGUUGUAAUGUAUAUGUGUUUACAGCUUGAUAUUGUAAGGCUUGAAAUUUACCAGCAUUAAAUUGCAUGUUGUUGUCUUCAGCCCAUUUGUAUAUGGCAUCCAGAUCUUGUUGUAAAAGGUCAGCAUCAGCUGGGUUUUUGAUUGCCUGUGCUACCUUUGUGUCAUCAGCAUAGCUAGUGAGGGAUGUUGUUUGUGCUACCAAGGGCAUGUCAGAGAGCGCCACCAAAAACAGCAAGGGUCCCAAGACUGUGCCCUGUGGCACCCCGCUUGCUAUUGGUGUCUUUCCCGAGAGGGCUCCAUUGGCUGCAACCAUCUGGCUUCUGUCCUUCAGGAAGUCAUGUAUCCACUCACCUACUUUUCCUGUUAUGCCGAGUCUGAGUAAUUUGUGACAUAUCACUCCGUGGUCGACUUUGUCAAAGGCCUUCGCAAAGUCGAGAUAUACCACAUCCACCUGUGAGCGAUCCAGUAGUUGUUUCAGUACCCAGUCGUAGUGUUGUAACAGCUGCGUAAGGCAGCUUCUUCCUGGGUGAAAGCCAUGCUGUGUGUCAGUGAGACGGUUAGUUUCUUCGAGGAACGUGAUCAGUUUUUUUCUGAUGAUUCGUUCCAUGACCUUACUCAUGUGUGACGUCAGGGAGACUGGCCUGUAGUUUUUGGCCUCUGCUCUACUCCCUCCUUUGUGGAUAGGGCAUAUGGUGCCUUCUUUUAGCGCCCUGGGCAGUUUACCGUUAGCCAAGGAACCACUGAAGAGCUUCUUCAGUGGUCCCGCUAGGGCAUGCCUGCAUGUUUUUAGGAGGACUGCUGGGAAUCCAUCUGGUCCAGCAGCUGAGUUUAUUCUCAUUUCUUCUAUGGCAGAUAUUACAUCCCUCUCUGUUAUGUCUAUGUGGUCGAUGGUUGUUGUUUGGUUUUGGAGUGUUGUGGCAUCAAAGAAAACUUCUGGGUUUGUGAUUUGCAUGUGCCCCAGAGGGGAUGUGAACACACUUUUAUACUGUUCCUUUAGUAUUUCACUUAUCCCUUGGGGGUCCUCAGUUAGAGAGCCCUUUUUAUCAAAGAGUGGGCCAAUCUUGCAGUGUACCGAGGUGGUUUCUUUCGCAAAUUUAAAGAAGGCUUUAGGGUUUGUUUUAAUAUUCUUUAUGGCUCUGGCUUCUCUCUCUGCCCUCUCCUUCUCAUAGGAAAGUUUGAGUGCAGUUUCCGUUUCAAAAAGUUUCAGGUGGAGUCCCUCAUUGUUUCUCUGCCGUGCAUUCAGUUGCUUCGAGAGCUUAGCUCUUCGCCUCAUAAGUAUUUUCCUGUCUCUGGGAAUAACGUUCCUAUGCCCGCUGGCUUUUUUCUCCGGGACAAACUUAUGGCAUAUGUUCUGUAUUGUUGUCAUGAAAUGUUGGAAAUGUGUGUUGGUGUCUUGUGUGGUGAUGAAGUCACUCCAGUCAUGUUUUCGGAUCUCUUCGUUGAUCUUCUUCCAGUUUGCCUAUAUAUAUAUAUAUACAACGGGAAGCUUUAUGAAAAUAAACAAAAGACGAAGGCAGGUGGAAUACAAACAAACAAUUGUAUUAGUAUGGCGCUCAGGAAUAUAAAUAAAACAAGUCUUUUACGUUUCGAGCCUACGCUCUUCAACAGAAAGAUACACAGAAAAGAAACACGGAGAGAAACAAGGAGAGAAAAAAAUGCGAUAUAUAUAUAUAUAUAUAUAUAUAUAUAUAUAUAUAUAUAUAUAUAUAUAUAUAGAUGUAAGUAUGGCUCAGUGGUUAGAGCGUCGAGCUUACGAUCGUAAGGUUGUGAGCUCGAAUCCCGGACCGGGCUGCGUGUUGUGUUCUUGAGCAAGGCACUUUAUUUCACGUUGCUCCAGUUAAUUCAGCUGUAGAAAUGAGUUGCGACGUCACUGGUGCCAAGCUGUAUCGACCUUUGUCUUUCCCUUGGAUAACACUAGUGGCGUGGAGAGGGGAGGCCGGUAUGCAUGGGCGACUGCUGGUCUUCCAUUAACAACCUUGCCCGGACUUGUGUCUAGGAGGGUAACUUUCUAGGUGCAAUCCCAUGGUCACUCAUGACCGAAGGGGGUCUUUACCCUUUAUGUACAUAUACGUAUGUAUAUAUAUAUAUAUAUAUAUAUGUACAUAUACGUAAGUAUAUAUAUAUAUAUAUAUAUAUAUACACACAUACACAUACACGUGCACGCGCACACACACACACACACGCACACACACUAUAUCUAUAAACUUGUGAUUAUUCUCAAUGUUUUGUAUUGUUGAUUAUUUGAUGUUCCUUACUUUUCGUUCUCUCACAGUCCCGUCUCCCUUAAAACAAAACUCAUCUUCCAAUAUCAAUAUAUUAUCUAUCUCUUUCUUUCUCCCCCCCUCUCUCUAAUAAUAUAUUGCUAAUCUGUCCAAGAAAUGCAGACACAUUCCUCGUUCUCCACCUGAUAUUAUUUACUGUUGAAAUGAAGUGAAAAUAAUUAAAACUGUCAAAGCAUGAACCAUUUAUAGAAGUUUGAAGAUUAUUCAUUGCCUUCUUUUGUCCUCUUUUACAGAAACAACGGCAAGCGCAGCAACACGAUCGAGGGUCAUGGCGGAGACAGCAAUAAAACUUCAACGACAGAAUCACCUCCAUAAACGGUGGUACGGCGUUAAAACUAACUCAGGGACUUGUAUUGGUGCCAGUCACCAAAAAUGACAUUUUGAGCGUUCUUGGAAUCGGAAUGUCUUUUCAAUUUCUCACUAAUAGAUGUAAAUAAAGUAUUCAAAGUUUCAACAGGUAUAUAUAUAUAUAUAUAUAUAUAUAUAUAUAUAUAUAUAUAUAUAUAUAUAUAGGCUUGAUAAUCAUCGAGAUAUUUCUCACAGCAUAAAACCAAUGGUAGCCACAAGUCCAUAGAUAAAGUAUGUGUAUAUAUGUAAUGUGUGUGUGUGUUUCUAUAUGUAUAUAUAUAUAUAUAUAUAUAUAUAUAUAUAUAUAUACAUUUAGUUAUAUAUAGAGAGAGAGACUGAUAGAGAGACACACAGACAGACAUUAAGAUAGAUAGAAAAUUUACCCAAGCGCUCAAGUAUGAAUGGAUAAAAAGCAAAACCACUUUAACAGAUUUUCUAUUGAUUUGUGUGUCUCGUAAAUCCAGCUCCUGCUUUUGUGAGUUGAUCUCAGUGGAAUAAGAGACCAAAAUAUUUUUGAGACCGGAAAGUAGUCGAUAUCAGAACACUUUGGCUCACAGUAUAUGAAAUAAAGUAUUUCGUUGGCACUCUGGUUUUGCUGCUGGUCGACGAUCGUAAUAAUGUAAAUAUCAUUCCUUAUUCCCGAUCAAAUAUUUGUCAAGAAGUGUUAUAGUAAUAGAAAUCGAAAAUAGUUCAUAACAGUUUAUAACUGGUACUCGUUUUAUUUUAUUUGAGGAAGGUUGAAAAUCGAAGUCACCUUCGUUUAAGAUUUUAAUCCAGGAUUUAUAGAGAUCCUCUGCUCCACCGAUUCUAGCAUCAAAUGGUAUUUAAGCACAAUGCUACUAAUUCGAGUGAAGAGGUAUUAGUCGCUUAUCAAUGGGGCUAAUACAUUUGUUCUAAUGACCACCGAAAGAUGAAAAGCAGCGUUAACUCGACAGAGAUUUGAGAUGGAAACGAAAAGAUACGCAUGACUUAAUUACAACAACUUCUUUGUUCUGUUACUUUACCUAUUACAAUACUCAUGGUUCUUCCAUGAUUCCUGACAAUGAAGCAAUUCCACCAGUUUGGAAAGACGAUAUACAUCAUUAUUUUGAUACAAGUAUCAAACCAAUAAUCCCUUCACAAUAUUAACGAUCAUCAACACACUACAGCUGUUUCGUAGUUGCAGGAGAUCCCUCGCCUUAAAUUAAGACAUGAAUUCAGACAAUUGUUGGCUAAUCACGUUUAAAAAAAGGCACCUUUGCCAGAUUUUCCAUGGGAAAUUGUGUUGCAAUAGUUUCGCUUCCCCACCCCUUUGAAAAUAAAUACGUUCCUAAUCAUGACAAAACUUCUAAAAAACCCAGAUUUGAACGAACAAAGCGCAAUCAUAUCGUCCAAUAGAUUAUCGAUAAACCCAUUUCACAUCUUCCGGAUGGAUAAGGUUGUCCUUUAUUCAUAGGUAGACAUUUUUAUAGCUACAUUCCGAUUAAUCUUCAUCGAGCCGUUCGCAACCACCAUCAUCCCAUUUCUUUUAAUUAAGAACAGGUUUUCUUUUUAAAUAAACUAUUGGGUAGGAAUAUAUAUUAGUGCGACCAUACCAUGCGAAUUAAGCACUUAACAAUGGUACGUGUCAUUAGCAUGUGCAUGACAAACAUGACUUCGAUGCAUGGCGUUGACACGUGAAUUUAGCACAUUACCUUGGCCUUGACAUGAAUCUGACACGACAGUAGAGGCCUCGUUAUGUGGACAUUUGUACUUAAAAUCUAGCACGUGCAUUGUGACACAGUGCUAUGUUAUUUGGUGCGUGGCUUGAUCUUGAAACAUGAACUGGAGAAUGGGUCUUGGUACAUAUUUAUGACACACUCCCGCAGAGGAACCAUAUUCUAAAUCGGUUCUUUUUUUAACUAAACAUAACAUCUUCAACAAUCAGCUAUCAAGUUCUGCCUAUGUAUGACCUCUAACAAAUAAAUGUUAUCUUUUUAAAAUUUAUCACGUGACCAUAAGCCAAGAAUCUCUUCUAUGUUAUUUUAGAUUAAAAUAUUCCCGUUCCUACAGAAAAAUCAAUAAAAACACACAGUAAAAAAAAGGUUAUCGUCUUAAAAAAAAAGAAGAAAGAAAACUCCUCAGUUGGCUUUCUAUUGACAUAAAUGUUACAAAAGCAAAAAUGAAAAAUUCGAGAUGAAUUUCAAAGGAAUUGUUAUUAUUCAAUAUAAAUUGUUAAUAGAAAAAUUCUAUGGGAAUUUUCUGUAAUUUUGUUGUUAUUUUCAUGGAAGAACACAGAAUAUAUUUUACCGUCACUGAAAGCGUUCUGGUCGCGACUCCAGUCAGAAAUUCCUUUGAAUUGUGUUAUCGUUCAGUCUAUCAAUUUUUUUUUCUAGUCUCACAAACAUCAAUCCCAAAUUGCCAAAUUCUUUGUUGUUAAGAAUACAAAGAUGUGAUAUAGACAUGAAAACUUAUUAAAAAAGAAAGAAAGAAAGAAAGAAGAAGAAGAAGAAGAAGAAUACGAUGAUGACGAUGACUUGAAGCAUAACCAUUAUUUGAGUUAAUUCUGUUAAUAAUGCCAAGCCCACUGUUAAUGCGCUUGCGUUAAAAGUUGCUACGAGCAGGGCAAUAACAUCAUCCGUCCCAUCAAAACCAGCAUGUGCCCCUCCCCAACGCCCAAUUAAAACCUCGGUCUGCUUGAAAUCCCAGCCAAAUGCCCUACUGAUCACAAUAACCGCUUUGAAAAUGACACAUUAUAUAAUGUCUCCCUCGAUACUCUAGGUGAAAUGGCUUGGGGCACAAAUUUGAUCGAUCAGAAAUCAUCUGCGCCUAAAAACAAUAUGACCAAUCACAAAUCAAGUUACCUGCAUCACAUAAAACAGAAAUACCGCAUUAGGUAACGCAUUCAGUUUUAGUUAUAUUAUAUAGGACGAAAAGUAAAGACUAAACAAUCAUGGCUUGGUCAGCUUCCUCCAAAGGUUUUUCUCAACCAGCCCUGGUUUGGAAAUAAAAAUAUCAAAAACAGAGUUUCUAGCCUACAGCAAUCUAAACUUCAGCAUCUCAAUAAUAAUUAUAUCGAGAUCUCAUGGACCAAUUUUUGGUCGUAUCAAAAACAAUAUCAACACGAACCCCACAUCACCACCAAAACAACCAUAGUAACAAGAAAUUCAUUUGCAAAAACAUCUUCACGACAUCCAUUAUUAGUACAACAACCCACCCGUAUUGAGACAAAAGUCGUUCCACUCGAAGAGAUACACACAAAUCACUGGAAUAUUUUAUUUGUAUUUAUUUAUGAAAUGUUCCCAAUAAAUGACAUUUGAAAAAAAAAUCUGUGUAUUAUUCUG
rnacentral:lncRNA from 1 species